AGCCCCGUUUACACUACGCUCAAUUUUUGGUACGGCACGGAUGAAAUUGGUACCCGUACCACUUUUUUUGUUCUUGGACUACCUAUUUAGCUAAGCCCCGUUUACACUACGUUCAAUUUUUGGUACCGUACCACUUUUUGGUUCUUGGACUGCCUAAAUAGGUAGUCCAAGAACCAAAAAAGUGGUACGGGUACCAAUUUUAUCCGUGCCGUACCAAAAAUUG
rnacentral:lncRNA from 1 species